UACGGAGGAUGCGAGCGUUAUCCGGAUUUAUUGGGUUUAAAGGGCGCGUAGGCGGUUUGCCAAGUCAGCGGUGAAACGCAAGGGCUCAACCCUUGACCUGCGGUUGAAACUGGCGGACUUGAAUGCGGAUGCUGUGGGAGGAAUGUGCGGUGUAGCGGUGAAAUGCAUAGAUAUCACACAGAACACCGAUUGCGAAGGCAUCUCACAAAUCCGUGAUUGACGCUGAGGCACGAAAGUGUGGGGAUCAAAU
rnacentral:rRNA from 1 species